GGGGAGAGACAGACAGAGACAGAGAGAUCGACAGAGAGACAGAGAGAGAGAACUGGAGCUGUGCCGGUGUUAAAGAUUUUUCCCACAAGGCCAAAUGAUGGAACUUUAAGAUUAUAGAGAGUUAUACUGUUGAAGACCAGAGUCAAAUCAUCUUGGGCUAUUUUUAGUGUGUCAGAAGCCACGCCCUCCUCAAGCCUGGGUCUACCCCAACAUCCUAAACCUAAAAGCACCAUCAGAUGGUAUAUGAAAUCUACAGCAGAGCUGGCGUUGCUUUGCCCUCACAGGCCUUCCUGAACCCCAACUAAUAUAUUUAGUAAACACUUCCGUUUAUGGCUUUCUUUGCUUUGCAACUAAUAAAAUCUCAGACUGCAAUCAGUCACGGCUGCUGAACUGGUGGAAAAUGUAGCCACAGGCAAAAGGAACUUCUGCGAACUGACAGCCCGGAGCUCAGUACUCAGGCCUUGGCCGUGUCUCUAAGCCUCACUCAUCCCCAGGCUGCGCCCUUCAGUGUUGAGAAUGGAAUGGCACCAGUGCAUCUGAAUUAAGAUGAAAAAGGAAAUCAAACUUGUUGGCUCAAGCCUGUAAUUCCAGGACUCCGGGGAUACAGAAGGGAAGACUGUAAAUUUGAGACUAUAGCUUAAGGCCCUGUCACUAAAUAAAUAAGAAAGAAAGAAAG